CAAUAUACUCCAGACUUCCAGGCACUCCAUAUCUUCCAAUAUAUUUAUUUUCAUCUUUGAUUUAAUUUAGAGGUCUUGGAGGAAGAGGACUUACUUUUGUUCCUGCAACUCCCUUGCUGUGUGAAGCCAGUUCUUCUCAGGUCUUAGCUAUCUGCCAUCCUUACUUCCUCAGCCUAACUUAUCAAUAGAAUAGCUGCCAGCUUUGAGUGGGGCUCAGGACAAGAAGAUGCUCUCUGGCCGAUAUAAUCAGAAGCACAGACAACUAACUAUAAUGGUCAGGUGGCCCUCCCUCAUCUUACAGGCCUACUAGAUCCUCAUCCACCAUCCUCAGACUUCCUGCAGAACAGGGCUGCGACUAG
rnacentral:lncRNA from 1 species